rnacentral:rRNA from 1 species
UACGUAGGGGGCAAGCGUUGUCCGGAAUUACUGGGCGUAAAGCGUGCGUAGACGGUUAUGUAAGUCGGGUGUGAAAGCCCCGGGCUCAACCCUGGGAAUUGCAUUCGAGACUGUGUAGCUAGGGUACGGAAGAGGGAAGCGGAAUUUCGAGGUGUAGCGGUGAAUGCGUAGAUAUCUGAAGGAACACCAGUGGCGAAAGCGGCUUCCUGGUCCAGUACCGACGUUCAGGCACGAAAGCGUGGGGAGCAAACAGG